rnacentral:rRNA from 1 species
CGAAGCGAAAGCGAGUCUGAACAGGGCGAUUAAGUAUGUGUGCGUAGACCCGAAACCAGGUGAUCUACCCAUGGUCAGGUUGAAGUUCAGGUAACACUGAAUGGAGGACCGAACCGACUUACGUUGAAAAGUGAGCGGAUGAACUGUGGGUAGCGGAGAAAUUCCAAUCGAACCUGGAGAUAGCUGGUUCUCUCCGAAAUAGCUUUAGGGCUAGCCUCGAGGU